CAGCCGCCGCGGUAAAACGAGGGGGGCAAGCGUUGUUCGGAAUUAUUGGGCGUAAAGGGCGCGUAGGCGGUUUGACAAGUCUGAUGUGAAAUCUCUGGGCUCAACCCAGAGUCUGCAUCGGAAACUGUCGAGCUUGAGUAUGGGAGAGGUGAGUGGAAUUUCCGGUGUAGCGGUGAAAUGCGUAGAUAUCGGAAGGAACACCUGUGGCGAAAGCGGCUCACUGGACCAUUACUGACGCUGAGGCGCGAAAGCUAGGGGAGCGAACAGGAUUAGAUACCCCAGUAGUCCCUGUCUCUUAUAC
rnacentral:rRNA from 1 species